rnacentral:rRNA from 1 species
GAUGAACGCUGGCGGCGUGCCUAAUACAUGCAAGUCGAGCGAACAGACGAGGAGCUUGCUUCUCUGAUGUUAGCGGCGGACGGGUGAGUAACACGUGGAUAACCUACCUAUAAGACUGGGAUAACUUCGGGAAACCGGAGCUAAUACCGGAUAAUAUAUUGAACCGCAUGGUUCAAUAGUGAAAGACGGUCUUGCUGUCACUUAUAGAUGGAUCCGCGCUGCAUUAGCUAGUUGGUAAGGUAACGGCUUACCAAGGCAACGAUGCAUAGCCGACCUGAGAGGGUGAUCGGCCACACUGGAACUGAGACACGGUCCAGACUCCUACGGGAGGCAGCAGUAGGGAAUCUUCCGCAAUGGGCGAAAGCUUGACGGAGCAACGCCGCGUGAGUGAUGAAGGUCUUCGGAUCGUAAAACUCUGUUAUUAGGGAAGAACAUAUGUGUAAGUAACUGUGCACAUCUUGACGGUACCUAAUCAGAAAGCCACGGCUAACUACGUG